rnacentral:tRNA from 1 species
GUAGCUUAAUGCUCAGUGGUAGAGCACUUGCUUAGUAUGCAUGAGGCCCUGGGCUCUAUCCCCAGAAACACA